UGCACUGCUGUGGCUGUGAUGCAGGCUGGCAGCUGCAGCUCCGAUUAGACCCCUAGCCUGGGAAGCUCCAUGUGCCAUAGGUGCAGCCCUAAAAAAGCAAAAAAAAAAAAAAAAAAAAAAAAAAAAAANCUCUACAACCAAAAAACUGGAAAAUGCAAAAGAAAGUAAUGAUUGUAUUAAGAUAAUCCCCUACCCCAAAUAAUAGACUUGACUAAACUAAUAACCAAGAAAGAAUAUUGGGAAAAGUUAUCAAAGAACAACUGGAGGGGGGGAGGAUGUGCCAUGCACAAAUUAUUCAUAAAUUCUUUCAAACUUUGAAAAGGUAAUAUAAAAGCUAGACAGAUUGUUAGGUUACAGAAAAAUAUGGGGAUCUUCCAGUCUAUUUGGCAUAACUCUAUAUGGCUGGCAUAACUCUGGUUCCAAAACCAAAGCAGAUAAUGUAGGAAAAACAAAAAACAAAAACUUUAUAGACUUCUGUUCCAGCCAAGACAGAGCAACUUUUAAGAAACCAAUGUCCCUGCCAAGAACAACUAGGAAAGCUGCUACGAUACAUCACCUGUUCUGAGACAUUCAAGAACUGCUCAGCAGCUGGGAUUUAAAGCACCAAAAUCCUAAAGGAAAAAAAAUGAUGGAGGUGUGCCUGACAUCCUGCAUUCUGGUCUUCCUCUUGGGUUAUUUACCACUUCCUAAAUGGUGUGGGGUUAGAUGCUGAAAAGCUUGGCAGAAGCACAAAGAUAAAGCAAAGAAGCCCAGGAACGGUGAGUAAAGCCUUCCACAGUCUUACAGGGCUGGGAAGAUACAAAAUGUGACAGCACCUAUCUAGGGUUCCAGGGUCCAGUCAUGACUAGAGGGUCCAAAGCUGGUACAGAGGGAGACAGUGUGCCUACCUCUUUACCCACUCUACUUUUAAAAUAGGUGAUGAUUCUUAAUCAAAGGAGGGUGAGAGACUAAACCGCCUUGCACAAAGAGGCUGGAUAACUGAACAGAACUUUCAGGAGACUCGUGGUGCUGGGAAAAUAAGUUUUGGGGUUCAGGAACCACCAAGGCAAAAACAAACUCUCAAGGAUCUUGGGGAGAGGAGAAUGACCACAAGCUACCAAGCCUUCCAAAGACUGCAAAUCAGCCUCAGUUUCUGAUCAAAUUGAGGUGAUCUGCCUCUUCUCUGCCUGACAGAGGACAUGAUAAAUCCUUAGGAGACAGGCUAGGCGAAUCCUCUUUGCAAGAAGGGAACAUCAUCCAUAACAUGAAUAAAUGUCCCACAUUCGACUGAAAAGUACCAGGCACACUAAGACACAGGAGCAAGAGUCAAAAUAACUAUUAGACCCACAGGCAAUAUAAUUACCGGAGUUAUCAAACAUGGCCUUCAAAAUAAUGGAGAAAUGGAUAACUACAUGGAGAAUUUAACCAGAGCAGAAUUAAUCUAAAAGUAAAAGACAGACUAAAUGAAAUUAAGAAUUCAAUAAAUGGGUUUUCUAAUAUCAUAUAAAACACAGAAUCAGUAAAGUAAAAGACAUGUUAGAAGAAUAGAAAAGUUAAACUUAAUUGACAUUUUCAGGACACUACAUCCAAAAAAAUCAGGAUACACAUUCUUCUCAAGUGCACAUGGAACAUUCUCAAGGACUGAUCAUAUAUUUGGGCAUAAAGCUAACCUCAAAAAAUUUAAGAGUACAGAAAUUAUUUCAAGUAUCUUCUCUGACCACAUGCCUUGAAACUAGAAAUCAACCACAGGAAAAGAAAUGAGAAAAAAACCUACUACAUGGAGACUAAACAACAUGCUACUAAAAACCCAAUAGGUCAAUGAGGAAAUCAAGAAGGAAAUUAACAAAUACCUUGAGACAGGAGUUCCCAUCGUGGCACAGUGGUUAACGAAUCCGACUAGGAACCAUGAGGUUGUGGGUUCGAUCCCUGGCCUUGCUCAGUGGGUUAGGGAUCCAGCAUUGCCGUGAGCUGUGGUGUAGGUUGCAGAUGCAGCUCAGAUCCCGUGUUGCUGUGGCUCUGGUGUAGGCCGGUGGCUAUGGCUCUGACUGGACCCCUAGCCUGGGAAUCUCCAUAUGCCAUGGGAGUGGCCCUAGAAAAGACAAAAAGAUAAAAAAAAUACCUUGAGACAAAUGAUAAUGAAGACACAACCACUCAAAAUCUAUGGGAUGCCACAAAAGCAGUGCUCAGAGGGAAAUUCAUAGCAUUACAGGCCUUCCUCAAAAAAGAAGAAAAAUCUCAAAUUGACACCACACCACCUAAAUGAAUUGGAAAAAGAAGAACAAAAACAACAACAACAAAAAACUAAAGUCAUCAGAAGGAAGGAAAUCAUAAACAACAAAGAGGAAAUCAAUGAAAUAGAGAUUUUUUAAAAAUGGAAAAAAAUCAUAAAACCAAGAGCUAGAUCUUUGAAAAGGUAAACAAAAUGGACAAACCUUUGGCCAGAUUCACCAAUAAGAGGAGAGAAAAAACCCGAAUAAACAAAAUAAGAAAUGAAAAAGGAUAAGUCACAAUGGAUACUACAGAAAUACAAAAAACUAUGAGAGAAUACCAUCAACAAAUUUGACAACCUCGAAGAAAUGGAUAACUUUCUAGAGACAUACAGCCUACCAAAAAUGAAUCAAGAAGAAACAGGAAUCAACUAAACAGACCGAUCACUAGAAAUGAAAUUGAAUAUGUCAUAAAAACACUCCCUACAAAUAAAAGUCCAGGACUAGAUGGCUUCACAGGCGAAUUCUACCAAACAUACAAAGAGGAACUUACACCCAUCCUCCUUAAACUUUUCUAAAAGG
rnacentral:lncRNA from 1 species